ACAGCAACCACAUGCAGUAGACUCGUCAUGUGUUUUCCUGGGCUCGGGCUCCUGACAUGGAGGUAUAAAAAAAAUUCAGCACGAACUCAAACAGACCAGAGACCAGGACCAGAGCCUCCUGCAGACAGAGCUGCUGCAGAAGGAACAAUGAGCAUGCCAGAACCCCUGAGAGAAAUGAGGAUGAUGAAGGAAAACAUGGACAACUUGAAUUCAUGACAUUCAUCAGUCUAGGAUCAAGACCUCCUCAAAAAAGCCACCUCAUUGUAGCUGAGAACUCCACAGUGAGUCAGAUAUCAA